rnacentral:rRNA from 1 species
UACGUAGGUGGCGAGCGUUAUCCGGAAUUAUUGGGCGUAAAGAGCGCGCAGGUGGUUGAUUAAGUCUGAUGUGAAAGCCCACGGCUUAACCGUGGAGGGUCAUUGGAAACUGGUCGACUUGAGUGCAGAAGAGGGGAAGUGGAAUUCCAUGUGUAGCGGUGAAAUGCGUAGAGAUAUGGAGGAACACCAGUGGCGAAGGCGGCUUCCUGGUCUGUAACUGACACUGAGGCGCGAAAGCGUUGGGAGCAAACAGGAUUAGAUA